rnacentral:rRNA from 1 species
AUGUGGUCGACCGCGGCGUGGUGGUGGGCCCACCACCACAUACGCCUCCUUCUCCCGGCCCUCUUCCUCGCCGCCGCCCUCUUCUUCUUCCUCGCCUCCCCGCGCUCCUCCCCAUCCUUCUUCGCCCUACCGGCCUCCAGGGAGCAUUCGCCGUCGGGGUCGCGGCUCAUAUGGGCGCAGCGGCGUUUGGCGGAGUGGCGGCCGUGCGAGUGGUGGCAGACGGCAAUGCCCGCAGCUCCGUCGACGAGGAAUGGCUACAUCAGGAUAGAUUGCUACGGCGGCCUCAACCAGCUGCGGCGCGAUCUGUGCGAUGGAAUUGCGGUUGCACGUCUUCUGAACGCGACAAUGGUUCUGCCCAAGUUUGAGGUUGCUGCAUACUGGAAUGAGUCUAGUGGUUUUGCAGACGUGUUUGAUGUUGAUCACUUCAUUGAGCAAACUAGAGGUUAUGUGGAAGUGGUGAAGGAUAUGCCCGAGGAGAUAUCGUUGAAAGAGCCAUUUAAGGUCGAUUGCCGAAAACGGAAAGGACAUUUUGAUUAUGUAGAAACAGUUCUUCCAGCUCUUUUAGAACAUCGAUACAUUUCUCUGACACCUGCCAUGAGCCAAAGAAAAGAUAGAUAUCCAGCACAUGCGAAAGCUUGUUACUGCCAAGGUUGCUACAAUGCACUCCAGUUGAACAAGAAGGUGGAAGCCAAAGCUAUGGAGCUUCUCCAAGCGAUACCAAAACCUUUCUUAUCACUUCACCUUAGAUUUGAACCAGAUAUGGUUGCCUACAGUCGAUGUGAAUACAGUGCCCUUUCUUCCAAAUCACUGGAUGUGAUUGAAGCUGCACGUGGGGAGGACAGGAAUGUAUUGAUUGGUGAUGCUGCUCGUCUGUGGAGGAACCGUGGAAAGUGCCCUCUAACACCAAGUGAGACAGCAUUUAUCCUCCAAGCACUAGGUAUUCCUACGGAGACAAACAUUUAUUUAGCUGCUGGGGAUGGGUUAAUGGAACUCGAGGGCUUCACUUCGAUCUACAAAAAUAUGUAUACUAAAUCGUCUCUCCUGACUCAUGAAGAUUUUGAGAGGAUGCAUGGCAACACAAAAGCUGCUCUCGACUACUAUGUUUCAGUCAACAGCGAUGCUUAUGUUACCACAUUCUUUGGAAAUAUGGAUAAGAUGGUAACUGCAAUGAGAACAAUGCAAGGGCUGCAGAAGACAUUGGUCUUGAGUAGGAGGGCCUUCGCAAACUACACGGCUGCUGGACUGGCAGGGGACCAACUAGCUAAGGCCAUGUGGGAUGCUCACCGAGAGGAUUAUAUCAUGGGGAGGGGAUUAGCUCUCCCUGAACAUUGCUUUUGUGAGUUCAAGUUGUAG